CCUACGGGAGGCAGCAGUAGGGAAUAUUGCUCAAUGGGGGAAACCCUGAAGCAGCAACGCCGCGUGGAGGAUGAAGGUUUUCGGAUUGUAAACUCCUUUUGUUAGAGAAGAUAAUGACGGUAUCUAACGAAUAAGCACCGGCUAACUCCGUGCCAGCAGCCUCGGUAAUACGGAGGGUGCAAGCGUUACUCGGAAUCACUGGGCGUAAAGAGCGCGUAGGCGGGAUAGCAAGUCAGAUGUGAAAUCCUAUGGCUUAACCAUAGAACUGCAUUUGAAACUGUUAUUCUAGAGUAUGGGAGAGGUAGGUGGAAUUCUUGGUGUAGGGGUAAAAUGCGUAGAGAGCAAGAGGAAUACUCAUUGCGAAGGCGACCUGCUAGAACAUAACUGACGCUGAUGCGCGAAAGCGUGGGGAGCAAACAGGAUUAGAUACCCCAGUAGUC
rnacentral:rRNA from 1 species